GAUUUUCAGGCUUUUAUUAAUAGCCUCAGAGGUUUGGAGCAGAGCCCUAACACUGCUGGAGGAGCUAAGAAUAAAGCUCUCAAGUCUUCCCAAGGAGCUCCCAAGUGCACAGACAUUGGAUCUCAUGCUGCGUGGCAGUAGCUUUCUUAGGCCUCAGCGCUUACCUACAUCUGUGCUUACUGAAGUGAGACUUUAAUUUGCUACACCACGCCAAGAUGGCAGCAGAGGGGCAGUCUGACAGAAUGGAGUCUGACAUGGAAAUGCAGAUGAAGAAAAGAUGUGCCAUUGAACUCCUCCAUGUCCUCCAUGUGAAAAA
ensembl:lncRNA